GUGCCAGGUCUGGGGUUCGAGGCGCCAGGCUCCGUCCGUCUCUCUCAAAGGGUGUUUGGACAAAUGCUGCCCCGGGGGUCCAGACACCAUAUAUAGUCUCCGGGAGAGGCCAUUGAAAAGUGUGUGCGGGGGAAUUGUUUAUGGGUUUUGUGGUGUUUCAUUUGGUGUAAUGAUAAAACAUAAAAUAUUUAUAAAAAGUAAAUAGAAAUGUUUAUAUUUAGUAAAAGGUAUUUUAAUUAAAUAAGUGGAUAUUGAUGAAUUGAGAUUCCCCUGUGAAUUAAAGGUGGUUUGAUCCGUCACAGCUGGGACUAUUUAAGACUGCAGUUUUCACCUGUGAAGUGUUGUUUGAUGUUGUGUGAAGAAUAAAACCACUGCUGUUUUCCACCUGA